rnacentral:rRNA from 1 species
CCUACGGGAGGCAGCAGUGGGGAAUAUUGCACAAUGGAGGGAACUCUGAUGCAGCGACGCCGCGUGAGCGAUGAAGGUCUUCGGAUCGUAAAGCUCUGUCCUAAGGUACCGUCAUUAUCGUCCCUUAGGAGGCAGCCCCGGCUAACUACGUGCCAGCAGCCGCGGUAAUACGUAGGUCCCGAGCGUUGUCCGGAUUUAUUGGGCGUAAAGCGAGCGCAGGCGGUUUAAUAAGUCUGAAGUUAAAGGCAGUGGCUUAACCAUUGUUCGCUUUGGAAACUGUUAGACUUGAGUGCAGAAGGGGAGAGUGGAAUUCUAUGUGUAGCGGUGAAAUGCGUAGAUAUAUGGAGGAACACCGGUGGCGAAAGCGGCUCUCUGGUCUGUAACUGACGCUGAGGCUCGAAAGCGUGGGGAGCAAACAGGAUUAGAUACCCUGGUAGUCCAUGCUAUAAACGAUGAGUGCUAGGUGUUGGGAGGGACACCUCUCGGUGCCGAAGUUAACACAUUAAGCACUCCGCCUGGGGAGUACGGUCGCAAGACUGAAACUCAAAUGAAUU